AAAACUUUCAACAACGGAUCUCUUGGUUCUGGCAUCGAUGAAGAACGCAGCGAAAUGCGAUAAGUAAUGUGAAUUGCAGAAUUCAGUGAAUCAUCGAAUCUUUGAACGCACAUUGCGCCCCGUGGUAUUCCGCGGGGCAUGCCUGUUCGAGCGUCAUUA
rnacentral:rRNA from 3 species